rnacentral:lncRNA from 1 species
CGUCACGUAUCCGGUUUAAGGCAAUUAACUUUUAACGCUUCAAAUUACGCUACAAAUACUACGUUUCAGAGUUGCUGGUAGGCAGUGGUACAAUGCGAAGCGUUAAAGGUUAAGUCACAAAUAUUUUUCAGAAUCUCUUUCCCGAGAACGACUAUGGGAUCUAUAACGACUAUGUGAAGAUUUGUGACUACCUGAUCUUCUUCGUUGUGCUUUUUUGGGUUUACGAGAUCUCCCAUGACUAUGACUGCGAGAUCUACUUCUACUAACAUGUUUCUUUCUUUUAUUAUGUUUUGCUCCUUCUCCUUUGGACGGGGAAGUACUAGUUGACUUAGAACGUCUGUGAAAAAAAAAACAAUCAAAAAAGAAGUAUUUAUUGCGAAACUAUAAAACAAUUAUAAAAGUUUUAUAUUCUUACCUAGGCGACUUAGUUCUUUCAGGUACAGCAUGUGUACCACUGCGACUAAUAAAACCACCCCAAGCGUUGUGAUGUUUCGGCAAUGGUGGACUCGGUGUAUGACUGUCGACAUCACCACCCCGAGCUUUAGUUCUUGCUUCUUCAUAUUGGCGACACUCGCUGACUUUGAAAAGACAGAACCAGGAUGGUGAAGUUGGCAGAGGAAGUUGAAGCUGACGAGCACCCAAAUAAACACAUGCACAUGCCACAGUUUCUGGUUGAUGCCUCAAAAAUACGUCCGAGCGUAACGAGUCGUUCAUGUAAUUCCA